GCUGUGAUCGUAUAGUGGUUAGUACUUCACGCUGUGGCCGUGACAACCCAGGUUCGAAUCCUGGUCACAGCA
rfam:Ciona savignyi cont_30225, whole genome shotgun sequence.